GGAGAGGUGUCCGAGUGGUCGAAGGUGCAUGACUGGAAUUCAUGUGUGGUGAAAGCCACCGCGGGUUCGAAUCCCGCCCUCUCCG
rnacentral:tRNA from 1 species